ensembl:lncRNA
CCUCGUCUCCCUUUGUAAAACACACAAGCGGAGAAGGAGGGUGUGUGUGUGUGUGUGUGUGGGGGGGGGGAUGAAGUCAAUUAUACAACAGACCGGCUCUUAACGUCUCCCUCCUCUCCCUGGUCUUACUACUACAGCUGGUGGCUCCACAUGCUCGGCGGAGCUGCCUCUCCUUCACCGGGAACACCGGCUCCAGUCAGCAGGCAUGUCGGCAGGCAUGUCGGCUGCGGGCUCUGAGUGGACGGCGGAGCGGCCAGCAGCAGUGGGUUGUGCCGACGUCAUUUCCGCCUCUGUCUAGCCUUCACCCGGAACUCACGUGCGGCUGCGAGAGGCCGUUCCCCAGUGCACUGUGUUCGCACGCUCCGUUGAAAAGUGGGUCAGUAGAUCAGUGAAGCAGCAGCGCGUGCAUCGACCAGCAGGGGGCGCCACGCCCACCCUGCAGCUCCUCAUAGGAACACAGGCAGGCACGUGAGGAAUGUGAACUCUGCCCGAAACACUUUCUGUUUAAAUGUUUAUAUUUUUUAAACCAAAUAAUGCGAGUCUAAAUCAAUAAGACCCUGAAGUCUUUUAAUGGAACACACACUCCUGGUUAAAGGAAGCAGCAGCAGCAGGCUUUAAAUCACAUGGAUAAACAAUCAUGUGAUUUUAAUUUAAACUGUUUAAAUGCUAUAAUUAACUGCACAAAUAAGCCUUUUCACACGCUGGAACUGCGCAUGCGCGACCUGGGUGGGGUUUUAGGUCGAGAGGUAUAAAAAUGUGAACAAGCUCGUUCACUAUGUUGAUAUUUCCAACCUAGCAGUGUUUGGCAUUUUAUUCCAGCGAUCUUUAGUGUUUUAAUAGUGUUUAUAUUAUUAAUAUUACACAUAUUCAGACUGCUCAUGUCACUUACGGCCGAUCCGAGGACUUAUAAAAACCGAUGAGAGGGCAGUCCCCCUCUCUUCCACACAGGUGUCCCCAGGUUGACAAAAACACCAACUACCUGGGUCUCCAGUAGGCGGAGUUAGGACUCAACUUGGGGAAUGAUGCACAUAUCUUUAAAAACCAAUGAGAGAAGCCGUAUCAAAGUGACAGAGCACCUCUGCUUCCUACUUCUGUAUUUUCUCUAUGUACCUUUAUUGUUGGUAGUUUUUUUAAUUUUAAUUUUUUGACUUUUGUAGUUGUUUUAACAACUGUAAAGCAUCUUGGACUUUUUGAAAAGUGCUUAUAAUUAAAAUGUAUCAUUAUUAGUGAUGGUAAAGUGAGAUUUCCUCGUGUGAAAGGGACAGUAUGAGUUCUCACUAUGAAAAGGUAAAUUUACGAGGUCCACCGUUCACUAACCAGGUCCAUGAUUAUUUUUAUUAAGCUAUUAUUUUACAAAUCUGAAGGGAGUGAACAAGAUGGACAGGGCUAUAAGUGAAACAGCACUGUUAACUGAUUGAUCACUGUUUAAAAAGUCAGGAAAAACCUCAAUUUUUAGCUCGUGUGCAGCAUUAGCUUUAGCAGCUAACUCUGCAUUUCUCUUGGAGACCGAUACCACGUUUCCGCAAUUUUUUUCUCCAAAUAAUCAAAUCAAAUCUAAAUCUCUGCCAGACUCACUGUUUACACCGUCAGCUAUGGCGAGUUCAUCCCUCUUGACCUUUGACCUCAUGUGUGGGAACUGAACCAGAGCGAGAGUGAAAAGGCUUAUUGCAACAUCGCUUAAAGUUAUUAAAACACAUAUUACUUAAUGUAAAAUUUCAUUCAAAUUACUUGAGAAUAAAUUGAUUUAUCAGGUCUUUAUCUGCUUAAAU